GGUUAAGCGACUAAGCGUACACGGUGGAUGCCCUGGCAGUCAGAGGCGAUGAAGGACGUGCUAAUCUGCGAUAAGCGUCGGUAAGGUGAUAUGAACCGUUAUAACCGGCGAUUUCCGAAUGGGGAAACCCAGUGCAAUUCGUUGCACUAUCGUUAAGUGAAUACAUAGCUUAACGAAGCGAACCGGGGGAACUGAAACAUCUAAGUACCCCGAGGAAAAGAAAUCAACCGAGAUUCCCCCAGUAGCGGCGAGCGAACGGGGAGGAGCCCAGAGUCUGAAUCAGCGCGUGUGUUAGUGGAACGGUCUGGAAAGUCCGGCGGUACAGGGUGAUAGCCCCGUACACUAAAAUGCACACGUUGUGAACUCGAAGAGUAGGGCGGGACACGUGGUAUCCUGUCUGAAUAUGGGGGGACCAUCCUCCAAGGCUAAAUACUCCUGACUGACCGAUAGUGAACCAGUACCGUGAGGGAAAGGCGAAAAGAACCCCGGCGAGGGGAGUGAAAAAGAACCUGAAACCGUGUACGUACAAGCAGUGGGAGCCUACUUGUUAGGUGACUGCGUACCUUUUGUAUAAUGGGUCAGCGACUUAUAUUCUGUAGCAAGGUUAACCGUAUAGGGGAGCCGCAGGGAAACCGAGUCUUAACUGGGCGUUAAGUUGCAGGGUAUAGACCCGAAACCCGGUGAUCUAGCCAUGGGCAGGUUGAAGGUUGGGUAACACUAACUGGAGGACCGAACCGACUAAUGUUGAAAAAUUAGCGGAUGACUUGUGGCUGGGGGUGAAAGGCCAAUCAAACCGGGAGAUAGCUGGUUCUCCCCGAAAGCUAUUUAGGUAGCGCCUCGUGAACUCAUCUUCGGGGGUAGAGCACUGUUUCGGCUAGGGGGUCAUCCCGACUUACCAACCCGAUGCAAACUACGAAUACCGAAGAAUGUUAUCACGGGAGACACACGGCGGGUGCUAACGUCCGUCGUGAAGAGGGAAACAACCCAGACCGCCAGCUAAGGUCCCAAAGUCAUGGUUAAGUGGGAAACGAUGUGGGAAGGCACAGACAGCCAGGAUGUUGGCUUAGAAGCAGCCAUCAUUUAAAGAAAGCGUAAUAGCUCACUGGUCGAGUCGGCCUGCGCGGAAGAUGUAACGGGGCUAAACCAUGCACCGAAGCUGCGGCAGCGACACUAUGUGUUGUUGGGUAGGGGAGCGUUCUGUAAGCCGUUGAAGGUGGCCUGUGAGGGUUGCUGGAGGUAUCAGAAGUGCGAAUGCUGACAUAAGUAACGAUAAAGCGGGUGAAAAGCCCGCUCGCCGGAAGACCAAGGGUUCCUGUCCAACGUUAAUCGGGGCAGGGUGAGUCGACCCCUAAGGCGAGGCCGAAAGGCGUAGUCGAUGGGAAACAGGUUAAUAUUCCUGUACUCGGUGUUACUGCGAAGGGGGGACGGAGAAGGCUAUGUUAGCCGGGCGACGGUUGUCCCGGUUUAAGCAUGUAGGCGG
rnacentral:rRNA from 1 species